AUUGAACGCUGGCGGAAUGCUUUACACAUGCAAGUCGAACGGCAGCACGGACUUCGGUCUGGUGGCGAGUGGCGAACGGGUGAGUAAUGUAUCGGAACGUGCCCAGUCGUGGGGGAUAACGUAGUGAAAAUUACGCUAAUACCGCAUACGAUCUAUGGAUGAAAGCGGGGGAUCGCAAGACCUCGCGCGAUUGGAGCGGCCGAUAUCAGAUUAGGUAGUUGGUGGGGUAAAGGCCCACCAAGCCAACGAUCUGUAGCUGGUCUGAGAGGACGACCAGCCACACUGGAACUGAGACACGGUCGAGACUCCGACGGGUGGCAGCAGUGGGGAAUUUUGGACAAUGGGCGAAAGCCUGAUCCAGCCAUUCCGCGUGCAGGAUGAAGGCCCUCGGGUUGUAAACUGCUUUUGUACAGAACGAAAAGGUUUCUACUAAUACUAGGAGCUCAUGACGGUACUGUAAGAAUAAGCACCGGCUAACUACGUGCCAGCAGACGCCGCAG
rnacentral:rRNA from 1 species